rnacentral:rRNA from 1 species
UCCACGCAGUAAACGAUGUCUAUUAGAAUUUUGUAGCUAUAUGCUGUGGGAUUCAAAGCUAACGCAUUAAAUAGACCGCCUGGGGAGUACGGCCGCAAGGUUAAAACUCAAAUGAAUUGACGGGGGCCCGCACAAGCGGUGGAGCAUGUGGUUUAAUUCGAUGCAACGCGAAGAACCUUACCAUCCCUUGACAUCCAGAGAAUCUGUUAGAGAUAGUAGAGUGCCUUCGGGAACUUUGAGACAGGUGCUGCAUGGCUGUCGUCAGCUUGUGGG